GUUAUAUGAUUUGUACAUGGCGGUGUUCCUGAACAGAAGGAGGUAAUUUCUUCGCUCUUUCUAUUGAUUAAUAUUGUUCUUCACUCUUUCUGAACUAUUGAAUUUAUUAAUAUUAUUCUUGCACAAAUUAAUUAAUGAUUAUAUCAUCUUUUGGUCACUUGAGUAAGAUAGAACAUGAUGAUCCUCUCUUAAUUUGGUUUCUCCUCCGCUAAAGAAUAUAGGAAUCACCAGCAGCCCUUCUGGUGAGCACCAUGUCUAUGAACUCAUCUCCAUGCUUACUAUCCUUCUAUAAACUGGGGGUAUCCAUGUGUUUCUAAUAAGGCAUUUUCCAUUCUUUCUUUUUCAAUUCUGUAUCAGUAGUUCCGAGGAAGCGCUCAACCUAGACGUUGUUGGCCGAAGGAGGGGCGGAGCAGGUGCCAGUCAGGUAGGCGGCUCAAUGGGUGGGAGAUGGCAGCUGCCGAUCUCACAUGGCUCCUGCGCCCCGCUACCCUCCCCUCCACGGCUAAGUAGGAGGUUCGAGGGCAGCGACUAAGGAAGGAGCACAUCGGCGAUGAGGGCUAGCAAUAGCAAGACACAACUGUAAGGUGCGGUCGAUAUGCCACCACGUCGGCCCCUUCACGCACGACCGCAAGGGUCGGGGCCUUUUUCCGAGCAAUGCAUAGUGUUUCCUUUAUUGUUGUUGUUUGUGCUGUCCUAGAUAUUCCUUUGCCAUAUGAUUUUUGAUCAUUUUCUCGCUCAUUCCUAGAGGAGCGCUAUAAAUAAUAUGAUUGAGAUGGCUAAGAUACAUGCUUUUUUGUUUACUUGGCAUCUGCUUUUAAUUUUUCUGCAAUCCUUCGUUUACAUGCUGGUAUGUUUUGUUGCCAGGCUCAGAUCAGCGAGACCCGUGCCAAUGCAUGAGGUACAAUAUUUUUCUUAUUUAUUCCUUUCAUACAUAUUGAGUUCAUUCACCCUAUUAUAUAUACUGAUUAAACAGUACAGGAUGGGCCUAGAAUUAGAUGCUAUUGGUACUUGCUCACGCUCAUUUCUCAUGUUUAUGUUCAGGCCUAACCUCACAAAACUUUGGUAUGCACUCACGUAUAAUCAGGGCUUGCUUAUUUAAAUUCUUGAAUUCAUUUUAUAUAUAUUAUAUCAUUAUUAUUUGUUAUCAGUUUUUUGUUUACGAUUUCCAAUUGGGUAAUAUCCCAUCAUACUACUAGGCAUUGGCCAGGUACUGGACUUUGGCUGGUUGUCAAUAUAAGCUUUGUGUUCUCCUUUGUUUUUACCUCAUUUAUAAAGUCCUUGAUUGAGCAAGCAUUUGAUUUCUAUGCCAACAUAGAUCUUAUUGCUCAUCAAAGGUAUCUAAAAGUUGUGUGCUCUGCAAUAGAUGGGUUGUGUUAGUCAAUAGAAAUACCUAAUAUGUCAGUUUUGUUGCCAAAUAUUUUAAACACAGAUAUAUACAGAGUUCUAGAACAGAAGAUGAUCUGGUGGUUACCUUUCUGUUAUUUACUCGAAUGACUGUACGUAUAUCUUACCUUCAGACUUUAUCCGAUCUUAGUUAGUUUUCCAUCUCCAAUCAGAUUAAUGGUUUGCAUGCAGACCAAGCCCAGUGUUCUAUGGUGUUCUUAUUCCUGAUUUAGUUGUACAUUUGACUUUUAGUUUCUUCAUAGAUAAUAAAGUAGUGGCAGAUGACCCAGUAAGUUAUUUGUGCCCAUGCUUUGCUGUAAGCAUUAAAUUUGCUCUCUGCUUUUACUUUCGAUGUGUUAUCCGUACCCCUGCUUUUUGUGGCUAAUUAUUAUCUCCUAUCAACAUAUGCAGAGUCCAUGGUAUCAUACGAUUUGAAGUUGAAAAAUUCAUGCUAUGGGUGAUACGGAAAAGGCAUUGCCUUCUUUGCUGGAACAUUUCCUAAGAUGAUCUAAGGUAAUUAUUUUAGUCACCAUGUCAUUUAUAUGCUAAAUUCAGUGCAUUGACAACUAGAGAUCGCUUCCUUUUUUGUGUAUUGAUCAUUUCAGUACGAUUGUUUGAUACACUGCCGACAUCAUUUUGCUUCUUCUUGCUUGGUAUUUCAUUUAUUUCCUCCAGCAAGUGGAUGGCUAUUUCCACUGCUUCAGGUUUCGUUUUGGCUCUAAUUGUGUGUAUGGCAUCUUGGCCUUCUUAGGUGAAGCAGUUAUGAAUAUCCUCGCUGAUCUAUGGAUCUAUCAUUGUAAGAGUCGAUGAUAUAUGGUGAGCUGCCUCACACCAUCAUUUGGUCUUCGUAGCAUUUGAGUUGGCAAAUUUGUUGGAUUCAUGCGAUUAGGCAUGGUAAGUGCUCAGAGACUCAUAGCUCUAUAACUGUUUGCUUCCAAAAGUUUUGAAUCUUUUCUGCGCUUGGUCCUCUCAUUGGUGAGAGUAGCCAUGUAAAUCAAUCUGCUAUGGGAAAUGGGAGUUUGCAAACUACCGGAGUCUAAUUGCUGAGGGACGAGGUUCGUAACUGAGGGUCAUGUGCAGAGCUGGAGGAAGAAGUUGCGAGGCUUGGAACUCUCCUUGUGAAGGGCUCAGGGACAGCAGUGAGGACAAUACCUCUUUAGUUGUAAUUGUGAUACUCCUGAUGUGCAAGUAAUCGCUCCUGUGAUACUCCUUAUACUAAAAUGUUGGUUGUUAGUACAGAGGUGUUGACAUUAUUUGGUUCUCUGGUAUUGAUUUCAUGAUUUGUGGUUAAUACAUGAUCUAAUACAAUCCACAUUGCAGUAUAUUUCCAGUUACAUCUCC
rnacentral:lncRNA from 1 species